CUACGUGCCAGCAGCCGCGGUAAUACGGAAGGUCCAGGCGUUAUCCGGAUUUAUUGGGUUUAAAGGGAGCGUAGGCUGGAGAUUAAGUGUGUUGUGAAAUGUAGACGCUCAACGUCUGACUUGCAGCGCAUACUGGUUUCCUUGAGUACGCACAACGUUGGCGGAAUUCGUCGUGUAGCGGUGAAAUGCUUAGAUAUGACGAAGAACUCCGAUUGCGAAGGCAGCUGACGGGAGCGCAACUGACGCUKAAGCUCGAAGGUGCGGGUAUCGAACAGGAUUAGAUACCCUGGUAGUCCGCACAGUAAACGAUGGAUGCCCGCUGUUGGUACUUGGUAUCAGCGGCUAAGCGAAAGCAUUAAGCAUCCCACCUGGGGAGUACGCCGGCAACGGUGAAACUCAAAGGAAUUGACGGGGGCCCGCACAAGCGGAGGAACAUGUGGUUUAAUUCGAUGAUACGCGAGGAACCUUACCCGGGCU
rnacentral:rRNA from 1 species